GACGAACGCUGGCGGCGUGCCUAAUACAUGCAAGUCGAACGCACAGUUUAUACCGUAGCUUGCUACACCAUAGACUGUGAGUUGCGAACGGGUGAGUAACGCGUAGGUAACCUGCCUGGUAGCGGGGGAUAACUAUUGGAAACGAUAGCUAAUACCGCAUAAUAUUAAUUAUUGCAUGAUAAUUAAUUGAAAGGUGCAAUUGCACCACUACCAGAUGGACCUGCGUUGUAUUAGCUAGUAGGUGAGGUAACGGCUCACCUAGGCGACGAUACAUAGCCGACCUGAGAGGGUGAUCGGCCACACUGGGACUGAGACACGGCCCAGACUCCUACGGGAGGCAGCAGUAGGGAAUCUUCGGCAAUGGACGAAAGUCUGACCGAGCAACGCCGCGUGAGCGAAGAAGGUUUUCGGAUCGUAAAGCUCUGUUGUAAGAGAAGAACGGGUGUGAGAGUGGAAAGUUCACACUGUGACGGUAUCUUACCAGAAAGGGACGGCUAACUACGUG
rnacentral:rRNA from 1 species